rnacentral:rRNA from 1 species
GACGAACGCUGGCGGCGUGCCUAAUACAUGCAAGUUGAGCGAUGAAGAUUGGUGCUUGCACCAAUUUGAAGAGCAGCGAACGGGUGAGUAACGCGUGGGGAAUCUGCCUUUGAGCGGGGGACAACAUUUGGAAACGAAUGCUAAUACCGCAUAACAACUUUAAACAUAAGUUUUAAGUUUGAAAGAUGCAAUUGCAUCACUCAAAGAUGAUCCCGCGUUGUAUUAGCUAGUUGGUGAGGUAAAGGCUCACCAAGGCGAUGAUACAUAGCCGACCUGAGAGGGUGAUCGGCCACAUUGGGACUGAGACACGGCCCAAACUCCUACGGGAGGCAGCAGUAGGGAAUCUUCGGCAAUGGUCGAAAGUCUGACCGAGCAACGCCGCGUGAGUGAAGAAGGUUUUCGGAUCGUAAAACUCUGUUGGUAGAGAAGAACGUUGGUGAGAGUGGAAAGCUCAUCAAGUGACGGUAACUACCCAGAAAGGGACGGCUAACUACGUG